UCGUGGAGUCGGUGGUACGAGGUGGUUGCGAUGGUCGUCGUCAGCUCGUGUCGUGAGAUGUCGGGUUAAGCCUUUAACGAGCGCAACCCUCAUUGCAUGUUACUUUUUCAUGCGAGACUGCCCUGGUUAACAGGGAGGAAGGUGGGGAUGACGUCAGAUCAGCAUGGCCCUUACGCCUUGGGCUACACACGUGUUACAAUGGUCAGUACAAUGGGUCGCAAUACCGUAAGGUGGAGCUAAUCCGUGAAAACUGAUCUCAGUUCGGAUAGAGGGCUGAAACUCGCCCUCUUGAAGUUGGAAUCGCUAGUAACCGCAAAUCAGCACGUUGCGGUGAAUACGUUCCCGGGUCUU
rnacentral:rRNA from 1 species